rnacentral:rRNA from 1 species
UGCUCCCUGAUGUUAGCGGCGGACGGGUGAGUAACACGUGGGUAACCUGCCUGUAAGACUGGGAUAACUCCGGGAAACCGGGGCUAAUACCGGAUGCUUGUUUGAACCGCAUGGUUCAAACAUAAAAGGUGGCUUCGGCUACCACUUACAGAUGGACCCGCGGCGCAUUAGCUAGUUGGUGAGGUAAUGGCUCACCAAGGCAACGAUGCGUAGCCGACCUGAGAGGGUGAUCGGCCACACUGGGACUGAGACACGGCCCAGACUCCUACGGGAGGCAGCAGUAGGGAAUCUUCCGCAAUGGACGAAAGUCUGACGGAGCAACGCCGCGUGAGUGAUGAAGGUUUUCGGAUCGUAAAGCUCUGUUGUUAGGGAAGAACAAGUACCGUUCGAAUAGGGCGGUACCUUGACGGUACCUAACCAGAAAGCCACGGCUAACUACGUGCCAGCAGCCGCGGUAAUACGUAGGUGGCAAGCGUUGUCCGGAAUUAUUGGGCGUAAAGGGCUCGCAGGCGGUUCCUUAAGUCUGAUGUGAAAGCCCCCGGCUCAACCGGGGAGGGUCAUUGGAAACUGGGGAACUUGAGUGCAGAAGAGGAGAGUGGAAUUCCACGUGUAGCGG